rnacentral:rRNA from 1 species
GAUGAACGCUGGCGGCGUGCCUAAUACAUGCAAGUCGAGCGAACGGACGAGAAGCUUGCUUCUCUGAUGUUAGCGGCGGACGGGUGAGUAACACGUGGAUAACCUACCUAUAAGACUGGGAUAACUUCGGGAAACCGGAGCUAAUACCGGAUAAUAUCUUGAACCGCAUGGUUCAAAAGUGAAAGACGGUCUUGCUGUCACUUAUAGAUGGAUCCGCGCUGCAUUAGCUAGUUGGUAAGGUAACGGCUUACCAAGGCAACGAUGCAUAGCCGACCUGAGAGGGGGAACGGCCAAACUGGAACGAAAACACGGUCCAGACUCCUACGGGAGGCAGCAGUAGGGAAUCUUCCGCAAUGGGCGCAAGCCUGACGGGACAACGCCGCGUGAGUGAUGAAGGUCUUCGGAUCGUAAAACUCUGUUAUUAGGGAAGAACAUAUGUGUAAGUAACUGUGCACAUCUUGACGGUACCUAAUCAGAAAGCCACGGCUAACUACGUG